UAGCUACAGCAGUGACUCUCAAAGUAUUCUCAAAUUCAACAAUAUGCUUCACCAACUUGGUUGGACCACAAGAGGAAAUUGGGUUUUGUGGUAACCCAAUAACUUAUUUUGCUCCAAGUGCUUAUGGGCAGCCAAGUGCAUGUAUGAUCAAUUUCCAAAGCUAUAUUGAUAAGAUGAUAAUCGCGGUAUCUGUUGAUGAAACUGCUAUUCCUGAUCCAAAACAGCUGCUUAAUGAUUUCGAAGAUUCUCUUAAUCUCAUAAAGGAUGCUGUUGUAAAAAGAGGGCUUGGCAAGAAUCUGAAAUAAUCAAGAAAUCCAACCAAGGAAGGUUGCUUAAUUUAAGUAAUUUUACUACGUUAAAGAACUUUUGAAACAAUUCACCAGCUCUUGUGUGUUGCAGUAAUUCUAUUUGCUAUUGCUUUCAAUUUGAUAUCGAAGAACAUGGUACAACAGUUUUCUGGGAAGCUACAGUUAAGUUAAUGUUAUUCAUAUCAUCAAUGUGUUAACCAA